rnacentral:rRNA from 1 species
CGUAACGCGUAUGCAAUUUGCCCAUAACUGGGGGAGUAGCCCGGAGAAAUCCGGAUUAAUACCCUAUAGUAUGUUGAGAAGGCAUCUUCUUAACAUUAAAGAUUUAUCGGUUAUGGAUGAGCAUGCGUCUGAUUAGCUAGUUGGUAAGGUAACGGCUUACCAAGGCUACGAUCAGUAGGGGGUCUGAGAGGAUGAUCCCCCACACUGGUACUGAGAUACGGACCAG